UUAAAGUUUCAAGUCUUCACCAAAGAUUCAAGUCCAACUUACAGUAAAUUAUGAAAUCCGAUCAAAGUGUUUUCCUUGAUCGAAAAAUUACUUAACUUAAGCCCAUAAAUAGUUGGCAACUUGGCGCAUUUGUUCAAUAUUUUUCUAAAUUUUUCUCUGUUUCUUUCUCCCACCCCAUAUCUAUAUCCAUCCCAGAGGCGCUCAAAUAAUCGACUUCAUUUAACUGAAAAACACUGCUCUGGGCUACAGCUGAACGUAAACCAUUACAAAGGGGACUGAGGCGGAUUGGAGGAGAUUGCCGGAGUGGAUGUGGAGGCAUGCUUGGUGAAUGGUGAAUGCACCGCCUCAUACUCCAGCUCCCAAUGUGUGUGCCAUAAAAUAAUUGAAAAAGAAGGAAAAAUAAGAGGAAAGGCAAAAGGCAAAAGGCAGAAAGAAGGGAAAGGAACACGAUUGAAAGGAUAUGUGGGGCAUCAGAAUGAAACACGGAAAUGGAGUUACCACUGUGAUGCCUAUUUUUAAGGCUCGUGCGAAUACAUGUUGUGGAACUUUUCUAGUUUUUAUUAACCUUCGAUGUCCUCUCAACUUCAGAGAUAAAAAUUUCAUGCUUGAUUUUCAAGUGAUCGAAA